rnacentral:rRNA from 1 species
GUCGAUAACGAACGAGACCUCGACCUGCUAAAUAGUUGGGCGCACCCCUUCAAGGGUGUGACCCCUAACUUCUUAGAGGGACUAUUGUUGAUUAGACAAUGGAAGUUCGAGGCAAUAACAGGUCUGUGAUGCCCUUAGAUGUUCUGGGCCGCACGCGCGCUACACUGACAGGUUCAGCGAGCUUGUGGAUGCCCGAGAGGGUUUCCUAAUCUUUUUAAAGCCUGUCGUGCUGGGGAUAGAUUGUUGUAAUUGUUAAUCUUCAACGAGGAAUUCCUAGUAAACGCAAGUCAUCAACUUGCAUUGAUUACGUCCCUGCCCUUUGUACACACCGCCCGUCGCUAGUACCGAUUGAAUGGGUA